rnacentral:rRNA from 1 species
AUUGAACGCUGGCGGCAUGCUUUACACAUGCAAGUCGAACGGCAGCGGGGGCUUCGGCCUGCCGGCGAGUGGCGAACGGGUGAGUAAUGCAUCGGAACGUGCCCAUGUCGUGGGGGAUAACGUAGCGAAAGCUACGCUAAUACCGCAUACGUCCUGAGGGAGAAAGCGGGGGAUCUUCGGACCUCGCGCGAUUGGAGCGGCCGAUGUCGGAUUAGCUAGUUGGUGGGGUAAAGGCCCACCAAGGCGACGAUCCGUAGCGGGUCUGAGAGGAUGAUCCGCCACACUGGGACUGAGACACGGCCCAGACUCCUACGGGAGGCAGCAGUGGGGAAUUUUGGACAAGGGGCGCAAGCCUGAUCCAGCCAUGCCGCGUGAGUGAAGAAGGCCUUCGGGUUGUAAAGCUCUUUCGGCCGGGAAGAAAUCGCACGCUCUAACAUAGCGUGUGGAUGACGGUACCGGACUAAGAAGCACCGGCUAACUACGUG